AUUGAACGCAGGCGGCAGGCUUAACACAUGCAAGUCGAGCGGGGUGAUGGUGCUUGCACUAUCACUUAGCGGCGGACGGGUGAGUAAUGCUUAGGAAUCUGCCUAUUAGUGGGGGACAACAUCUCGAAAGGGAUGCUAAUACCGCAUACGUCCUACGGGAGAAAGCAGGGGAUCACUUGUGACCUUGCGCUAAUAGAUGAGCCUAAGUCGGAUUAGCUAGUUGGUGGGGUAAAGGCCUACCAAGGCGACGAUCUGUAGCGGGUCUGAGAGGAUGAUCCGCCACACUGGGACUGAGACACGGCCCAGACUCCUACGGGAGGCAGCAGUGGGGAAUAUUGGACAAUGGGGGGAACCCUGAUCCAGCCAUGCCGCGUGUGUGAAGAAGGCCUUAUGGUUGUAAAGCACUUUAAGCGAGGAGGAGGCUCUUUUGGUUAAUACCCAAGAUGAGUGGACGUUACUCGCAGAAUAAGCACCGGCUAACUCUGUGCCAGCCGCCGUAACAC
rnacentral:rRNA from 1 species